AGCGAACGCUGGCGGCAGGCUUAACACAUGCAAGUCGAGCGGGCGCAGCAAUGCGUCAGCGGCAGACGGGUGAGUAACACGUGGGAACGUACCCUUCGGUUCGGAACAACCCAGGGAAACUUGGGCUAAUACCGGAUACGUCCGUAAGGAGAAAGAUUUAUCGCCGAAGGAUCGGCCCGCGUCUGAUUAGCUAGUUGGUGUGGUAACGGCGCACCAAGGCGACGAUCAGUAGCUGGUCUGAGAGGAUGAUCAGCCACACUGGGACUGAGACACGGCCCAGACUCCUACGGGAGGCAGCAGUGGGGAAUAUUGGACAAUGGGGGCAACCCUGAUCCAGCCAUGCCGCGUGAGUGAUGAAGGCCCUAGGGUUGUAAAGCUCUUUCGGUGGGGAAGAUAAUGACGGUACCCACAGAAGAAGCCCCGGCUAACUUCGUGCCAGCAGCCGCAGUAACAC
rnacentral:rRNA from 1 species